rnacentral:rRNA from 1 species
AGCGAGCGCUGGCGGCAGGCCUAACACAUGCCAGUCGAACGAACCUUUCGGGGUUAGUGGCGGACGGGUGAGUAACACGUGGGAACGUGCCUUUAGGUUCGGAAUAACUCAGGGAAACUUGUGCUAAUACCGAAUGUGCCCUUCGGGGGAAAGAUUUAUCGCCUUUAGAGCGGCCUGCGUCUGAUUAGCUAGUUGGUUGAGGUAAUGGCUCACCAAGGCGACGAUCAGUAGCUGGUCUGAGAGGAUGAUCAGCCACAUUGGGACUGAGACACGGCCCAAACUCCUACGGGAGGCAGCAGUGGGGAAUCUUGCGCAAUGGGCGAAAGCCUGACGCAGCCAUGCCGCGUGAAUGAUGAAGGUCUUAGGAUUGUAAAAUUCUUUCACCGGGGACGAUAAUGACGGUACCCGGAGAAGAAGCCCCGGCUAACUUCGUG